UGCCAGCAUCCGCGGUAAUACUGAGACCUCGAUCGUUACUCGGAUUCACUGGGCGUAAAGGGUGAGUAGGCGGCCAAGUAUGUCGGGUGUGAAAUCCCGGGGCUUAACCCCGGAACUGCGCCCGAAACUACUUGGCUAGAGUCUCGGAGAGGAUAGUGGAAUUCCAAGUGUAGCGGUGAAAUGCGUAGAUAUUUGGAGGAACACCAGUGGCGAAGGCGACUGUCUGGACGAGUACUGACGCUCAAUCACGAAAGCGUGGGUAGCGAAAGGGAUUAGAUA
rnacentral:rRNA from 1 species